UCCAUUGUUCAGCCUUGCACCUGGAGA
rnacentral:piRNA from 1 species